AGAGUUUGAUCCUGGCUCAGAUUGAACGCUGGCGGCACGCCUAACACAUGCAAGUCGAGCGGCAGCGNNNUCAGUAGCAAUACUGAUUGGCGGCGAGCGGCGGACGGGUGAGUAACACGUAGGAACCUGCCCAGAAGUGGGGGAUAACUAAUGGAAACGUUAGCUAAUACCGCAUACAUUCGGGAGAAGAAAGCUGCAGCAAUGUGGCGCUUUUGGAGGGGCCUGCGUCCGAUUAGCUAGUUGGUGAGGUAAUAGCUUACCAAGGCGAUGAUCGGUAACUGGUCUGAGAGGACGACCAGUCACACUGGGACUGAGACACGGCCCAGACUCCUACGGGAGGCAGCAGUGGGGAAUCUUGGACAAUGGGGGCAACCCUGAUCCAGCGAUGCCGCGUGAGUGAAGAAGGCCUUCGGGUCGUAAAGCUCUUUAGGCUGGGAAGAAGGUUAGGAGAGGAAAUGCUUUUAACUUGACGGUACCAGCAGAAUAAGCACCGGCAAACUCUGUGCCAGCAGCCGCGGUAAUACAGAGGGUGCGAGCGUUAAUCGGAGUUACUGGGCGUAAAGGGCGCGUAGGCGGUUAAGCGAGUGUGAUGUGAAAGCCCCGGGCUUAACCUGGGAAGUGCAUCGCAAACGGCUAAACUAGAGUAGAUGAGAGGGUGAUGGAAUUUCCGGUGUAGCGGUGAAAUGCGUAGAGAUCGGAAGGAACGUCGAUGGCGAAGGCAGUCACCUGGCAUCAUACUGACGCUGAGGCGCGAAAGCGUGGGGAGCAAACAGGAUUAGAUACCCUCGUAGUCC
rnacentral:rRNA from 1 species